UUCUAUGGGCAUACCACCCUGAACGCACCCAAUCUUGUCUGAUCUCAGAAGCUAAGCAGGAUCGGUCCUGGUGAGUACUUGGAUGGGAGACCACCUGGGAAUACAGGGUGCUGUAGGCU
ensembl:rRNA 5S_rRNA 5S ribosomal RNA